AGCGAACGCUGGCGGCAGGCCUAACACAUGCAAGUCGAACGAAGUCUUCGGACUUAGUGGCGGACGGGUGAGUAACACGUGGGAACGUACCUUUUGGUUCGGAACGACUCAGGGAAACUUGAGCUAAUACCGGAUGAGCCCUUAGGGGGAAAGAUUUAUCGCCGAAAGAGCGGCCCGCGUUAGAUUAGCUAGUUGGUGAGGUAAAGGCUCACCAAGGCUACGAUCUAUAGCUGGUCUGAGAGGAUGAUCAGCCACACUGGGACUGAGACACGGCCCAGACUCCUACGGGAGGCAGCAGUGGGGAAUCUUGCGCAAUGGGCGAAAGCCUGACGCAGCCAUGCCGCGUGAAUGAUGAAGGUCUUAGGAUUGUAAAAUUCUUUUACCAGGGACGAUAAUGACGGUACCUGGAGAAAAAGCCCCGGCUAACUUCGUGCCAGCCGCCGCUGUAAAAC
rnacentral:rRNA from 1 species